GAUGAACGCUGACAGAAUGCUUAACACAUGCCAGUCAACUUGAAUUUGGGUUUUUAACUUAGGUUUGGGUGGCGGACGGGUGAGUAACGCGUAAAGAACUUGCCUCACAGCUAGGGACAACAUUUGGAAACGAAUGCUAAUACCUAAUAUUAUGAUAAUAGGGCAUCCUAUAAUUAUGAAAGCUAUAAGCGCUGUGAGAGAGCUUUGCGUCCCAUUAGCUAGUUGGAGAGGUAACGGCUCACCAAGGCGAUGAUGGGUAGCCGGUCUGAGAGGGUGAUCGGCCACAAGGGGACUGAGACACGGCCCUUACUCCUACGGGAGGCAGCAGUGGGGAAUAUUGGACAAUGGACCGAGAGUCUGAUCCAGCAAUUCUGUGUGCACGAUGAAGUUUUUCGGAAUGUAAAGUGCUUUCAGUUGGGAAGAAACAAAUGACGGUACCAACAGAAGAAGUGACGGCUAAAUACGUG
rnacentral:rRNA from 1 species